rnacentral:rRNA from 1 species
UGGGGAAUAUUGCACAAUGGGCGCAAGCCUGAUGCAGCCAUGCCGCGUGUGUGAAGAAGGCCUUCGGGUUGUAAAGCAUUUUCAGCGAGGAGGAAGGCGGUGAACUUAAUACGUUCAUCAAUUGACGUUACUCGCAGAAGAAGCACCGGCUAACUCCGUGCCAGCAGCCGCGGUAAUACGGAGGGUGCAAGCGUUAAUCGGAAUUACUGGGCGUAAAGCGCACGCAGGCGGUUUGUUAAGUCAGAUGUGAAAAUCCCCGGGCUCAACCUGGGAACUGCAUUUGAAACUGGCAAGCUAGAGUCUCGUAGAGGGGGGUAGAAAUUCCAGGUGUAGCGGUGAAAUGCGUAGAGAUCUGGAGGAAUACCGGUGGCGAAGGCGGCCCCCCUGGACGAAGACUGACGCUCAGGUGCGAAAGCGUGGGGAGCAAACAGGAUUAGAUACCCCUGGUAGGUCCACGCUGUAAAACGAUGUCGAUUUGGAGGUUGUGCCCCUUGAGGCGUGGCUUCCGGAGCUAACGNGUUAAAUCGACCGCCNGGGGAGUACGGCCNCAAGGUUAAAACUAAAGGAAUU